rnacentral:misc_RNA from 1 species
GAUGAAGAACGCAGCGAAAUGCGAUACUUGGUGUGAAUUGCAGAAUCCCGUGAACCAUCGAGUCUUUGAACGCAAGUUGCGCCCGAAGCCACUAGGCCGAGGGCACGCCUGCCUGGGCGUCACACAUCGUUGCCCCCCACCAUCUACUCCUUCGGGAUUGCGGGGGGCGGAUGAUGGCCUCCCGUGCGCCUAGCCGCGCGGUUGGCAUAAAUACCAAGUCCUCGGCGACGCACGCCACGACAAUCGGUGGUUGCGAAACCUCGGUUGCCCGUCGUGUGCGUUCGUCGCGCAUCGAGGGCUCGAAAAAAUGCUCGGCUCCGGCUCGGCUUUCAACGCGACCCCAGGUCAGGUGGGGUUACCCGCUGAAUUUAAGCAUAUCAAUAAGCGGAGGA